ACAUUCCAUUUUGGAAUGGAAAUAAGGAGGUAAUGGAUCUCCUGAAAUAAUCAACUCUGAUGGUAUAAAACACACAAUUCUUUUGUCCCUCCCUGCCAUCUGCUUGCCUAUAGUUAAAAGAAUAGGGUACAUAACUAAACCCCUUUCCAGGGGAAAUGAUACUAAUUCUAUGUAGUAUCAGGUAUCCGGUAAUUUAGACACCCACUUCUAAUCUGUUUCCCCUUUCCCAUUUUCCUUGAGAAGUGUUAGACCGAUUUCAUGAAAGAAAUGAAAAUCCAUCAACUUUUAUGCAGGGGACUUCACACUUAUUCUGCUAGCUCUGAAGACAAAGUAUUUAAUAAACCAGAAUACUUUUAACUAAACUGGAAUGGCUCUAGCACAAGACAGGACAACCUGAAAAACUCCCUUUUAAAAACUAUAUUUUGCCAAUGGCUGGAAGGCCUUUUUUCCACCACAGCAUUACACAGGAGGAAAAAGGAUAAGGUAGGACACUACCCGACUUUUGCCCAGAAAACUGUAACCUAGUUUCAGCAUCUGUCAUUUGUCUGAUACAGUAAAGCAUCCUGGAAAGCUUCCUUUUCCAGAAUGCUUAAAGGGAGUUGCAAUACGAGUACUGGAGACAGUACUCUUGACCAGUUAAGAGUUAAACUUCUUCUUACAAUUAGACUACUGCUUGCCACCUACAUUAUCUCAGUGCCACUAGAUCCAUGAGUGGAUAAUUUAAUUUUGCACCUUAACCGCAAAAUGUAUCAUUUACUAGUACUUGCACCAUUCUCUGAACAAUCUACAAACAUCUUGGUACCUUGUAAUCAUAGCACCAAGUAAUUUAGCAUCAAAUUGAAGUGUCAGUUUUCCUUAAUCCUGUAAGUUUUGAUCUUUGUUCAAAUGGGGAAAGGUAUAUGAUCACCUCUGAGCAAAGCUUGGGUCUUUUGAGGCCUUUUACUUAGGACAAGAAGUCUGUUAAGACUGUUGCCUAUCAAAAAACUUGAAUAUUCUCUGGAGAGCAGUGCAGGAGAUAAGGCACAUCUACAAUAGAUAUAUGUAUAGAAAUAACUUCUGGAUCUACAUUUUAAGAUGAAACCCAUCUAUAAACAGUAUUUCUAAUAUUAGUUACCCAAUUUGGAUUUUUUUUUUUUAAAUCAGAGAAGGGGAACUUAAGCACAGAAAGCUUAAAUUCAAGAUUACACAGCCCAAGUUAACUAAACCUUUCAGCUACCAGAUCAAACAAAACACAAUGAAUCCCUAGCAUUACAAAUUAAUAAUUUUAUUUCCCCCUGUCAUGUAGAACUUCAUUAUCCUUCUCCAAAAAUAAUUAAAAGUAGCUGUUUUUUAGAAUUGUAUGUUUCCUGAUGUGACGUACAUAACUACUUAAGCAUAUAUUCUGUAAGACAAAAUAUUCAGGAUCUGCCUUCCAAUUUUAUUAUGGAAAUCAAAAAAACCUGACUGAAGAACACAAUUUACAUGUGGGUUGCAGGUAUUUUGGUCAGAGAUCACUUAUUUUUUUACAGUGACACCCAAAACACUGUUCAAAUGAAGCACGGUACCUGACUAACCAUUCUGAAAUACCAUUUCAAAAUCAAAUUAUUCCAAUAUGUACAUUCAAAAGAUUUAUAUUGAACCCAUUUUCUUAAUACCCAAAGUUAAGCUUCUUGGGUUUGGGCAAGCAAAUAGUGAUGUGCUCCCUCAGACAAACUGGAUGCAGUUAGGAGCCACAGCUUACUAGAUUAAAAAUUGCAUUCUUAAGGAACAGAAGCCAAGUAAAACAGAAGCAAAAAGUUAUGAUGAUAGUUAAAGCAAACUGGAUAUUGUACAGGUGGUUCAAUAUUAAAACACAAGAAGCACUGUAAGUAAAAAGCAGCAGCAGGUCUCAGGAGGAUACAAAACUACAAUAGUCCUAUCUUCCAACUGGGUUGAAACAGUUUACAAGGCAAGUUAAAUCACCAUCCACCAAUUUUUAUUAACAGAAUGUACAGCAUCCUUUGAAGAGAUAAAUAUGUAAGAGCAGUAAUCAAUCAUUUUUCUUAAACAUCAGAGACUAAGAACAGAUUUUAACCUUGUUAUUUUAAUUAUUCUUUGGAGUAAUUUGCAGCAUAGAGUUUUAAAACCAAAGAGUUAUUCAAUUCAAGCAGUAAAUCAACAUCUUGUUACACUACUCACAAAAAAUAUUUUUAUAAGCAUAUCCCAAGGCAUAGGAGGAAGGUGGAAAAAGCAGGGGAAAAA